rnacentral:rRNA from 1 species
AGGAAUAUUGGUCAAUGGGCGCGAGCCUGAACCAGCCAAGUAGCGUGAAGGAUGAAGGUCCUACGGAUUGUAAACUUCUUUUAUAAGGGAAUAAAGUCACCCACGUGUGGGUGUUUGUAUGUACCUUAUGAAUAAGCAUCGGCUAACUCCGUGCCAGCAGCCGCGGUAAUACGGAGGAUGCGAGCGUUAUCCGGAUUUAUUGGGUUUAAAGGGAGCGUAGACGGGUCGUUAAGUCAGCUGUGAAAGUUUGAGGCUCAACCUUAAAAUUGCAGUUGAUACUGGCGUCCUUGAGUACGGUUGAGGCAGGCGGAAUUCGUGGUGUAGCGGUGAAAUGCUUAGAUAUCACGAAGAACCCCGAUUGCGAAGGCAGCCUGCUAAACCGCCACUGACGUUGAGGCUCGAAAGUGUGGGUAUCAAACAGGAUUAGAUACCCUGGUAGUCCACACGGUAAACGAUGGAUACUCGCUGUUGGCGAUAGACUGUCAGCGGCUUAGCGAAAGCGUUAAGUAUCCCACCUGGGGAGUACGCCGGCAACGGUGAAACUCAAAGGAAUUGACGGGGGCCCGCACAAGCGGAGGAACAUGUGGUUUAAUUCGAUGAUACGCGAGGAACCUUACCCGGGCUUAAAUUGCAGAUGAAUUACGGUGAAAGCCGUAAGCCGCAAGGCAUCUGUGAAGGUGCUGCAUGGUUGUCGUCAGCUCGUGCCGUGAGGUGUCGGCUUAAGUGCCAUAACGAGCGCAACCCUUGUUGUCAGUUACUAGCAGGUUAUGCUGAGGACUCUGGACAGACUGCCAUCGUAAGAUGUGAGGAAGGUGGGGAUGACGUCAAAUCAGCACGGCCCUUACGUCCGGGGCUACACACGUGUUACAAUGGGGGGUACAGCAGGCAGCUACCGGGCGACCGGAUGCCAAUCCCGAAAGCCUCUCUCAGUUCGGACUGGAGUCUGCAACCCGACUCCACGAAGCUGGAUUCGCUAGUAAUCGCGCAUCAGCCACGGCGCGGUGAAUACGUUCCCG